AGAGUUUGAUCCUGGCUCAGGAUGAACGCUAGCUACAGGCUUAACACAUGCAAGUCGAGGGGCAGCAUUUCAGUUUGCUUGCAAACUGGAGAUGGCGACCGGCGCACGGGUGAGUAACACGUAUCCAACCUGCCGAUAACUCGGGGAUAGCCUUUCGAAAGAAAGAUUAAUACCCGAUGGUAUAAUCAGACCGCAUGGUCUUGUUAUUAAAGAAUUUCGGUUAUCGAUGGGGAUGCGUUCCAUUAGGCAGUUGGUGAGGUAACGGCUCACCAAACCUUCGAUGGAUAGGGGUUCUGAGAGGAAGGUCCCCCACAUUGGAACUGAGACACGGUCCAAACUCCUACGGGAGGCAGCAGUGAGGAAUAUUGGUCAAUGGGCGCAGGCCUGAACCAGCCAAGUAGCGUGAAGGAUGACUGCCCUAUGGGUUGUAAACUUCUUUUAUAUGGGAAUAAAGUUUUCCACGUGUGGAAUUUUGUAUGUACCAUAUGAAUAAGGAUCGGCUAACUCCGUGCCAGCAGCCGCGGUAAUACGGAGGAUCCGAGCGUUAUCCGGAUUUAUUGGGUUUAAAGGGAGCGUAGGUGGACAGUUAAGUCAGUUGUGAAAGUUUGCGGCUCAACCGUAAAAUUGCAGUUGAUACUGGCUGUCUUGAGUACAGUAGAGGUGGGCGGAAUUCGUGGUGUAGCGGUGAAAUGCUUAGAUAUCACGAAGAACUCCGAUUGCGAAGGCAGCUCACUGGACUGCAACUGACACUGAUGCUCGAAAGUGUGGGUAUCAAACAGGAUUAGAUACCCUGGUAGUCCACACAGUAAACGAUGAAUACUCGCUGUUUGCGAUAUACAGUAAGCGGCCAAGCGAAAGCAUUAAGUAUUCCACCUGGGGAGUACGCCGGCAACGGUGAAACUCAAAGGAAUUGACGGGGGCCCGCACAAGCGGAGGAACAUGUGGUUUAAUUCGAUGAUACGCGAGGAACCUUACCCGGGCUUAAAUUGCAUUUGAAUAUAUUGGAAACAGUAUAGUCGUAAGACAAAUGUGAAGGUGCUGCAUGGUUGUCGUCAGCUCGUGCCGUGAGGUGUCGGCUUAAGUGCCAUAACGAGCGCAACCCUUAUCUUUAGUUACUAACAGGUCAUGCUGAGGACUCUAGAGAGACUGCCGUCGUAAGAUGUGAGGAAGGUGGGGAUGACGUCAAAUCAGCACGGCCCUUACGUCCGGGGCUACACACGUGUUACAAUGGGGGGUACAGAAGGCAGCUACCUGGUGACAGGAUGCUAAUCCCAAAAGCCUCUCUCAGUUCGGAUCGAAGUCUGCAACCCGACUUCGUGAAGCUGGAUUCGCUAGUAAUCGCGCAUCAGCCAUGGCGCGGUGAAUACGUUCCCGGGCCUUGUACACACCGCCCGUCAAGCCAUGAAAGCCGGGGGUACCUGAAGUACGUAACCGCAAGGAGCGUCCUAGGGUAAAACUGGUAAUUGGGGCUAAGUCGUAACAAGGUAGCCGUACCGGAAGGUGCGGCUG
rnacentral:rRNA from 1 species